AUUGACUUAAUUGUUUCUAAGCUAAACUGUUGUCUCAAGAAAAUGUUCAGUUGCCACUUUGUACUACACAGCGAAAAUGCUACCACUCUUGUAAACAGCUGGAGAGAAGAUAUUCAUAUGAUUGUCCCACAGUUGAGAGAGUUUUGCAAAUUCCAUAACCUCCAGUGUUGAAUGUAAAAUCUUCAGAUUCCAUGGAUGCAGCAGGGAAGAAGAAAAUGUAGUAGAGAUCUUCUAGUCUAAGCUACAAUGAGGUUAGUCCUUCCCUAGAGAACCUAAAAUUAAAAACACUUCUCCAUAAAAACUAAUGUUAUGGUAAGAGAGUAAUUGUCCCCUCUUGUAUUUCAGAUACAUCACAAAGACACUAUAAAAAAUAAUAGGCCAUAUCACUGAUGAACAUAGAUGCAAAAAUCCGCAAAAUAUUAGCAAACUGAAUUCAACAAUAAAGACAAAAAAAAAAGGAGUUCCUGUCUUGGUGCAGGGGAAGCGAAUCCCACUAGGAACCAUGAGGUUGUGGGUUCGAUCCCUGGCCUCACUCAGUGGGUUAAGGAUCCAGUGUUGCUUUGAAGGUCGCAGAUGUGGCUCAGAUCUGGUGUUGCUGUGGCUCUGGCGUAGGCCGGCAGCUGUAGCUCUGAUUAGAUCCCUAGCCUGGGAACCUCCAUAUGCCUGGGUGUGGCCCUAAAAAAAAGACAAAAGACAAAAGACAAAAAAAAUAAAUAAAAGGAUCACACACGACGAUCAAAUGGCUUUUAUCCCACAGAUGCAAGGAUGAUUCAAUAGCUGCAAAUCAAUGUGAUACACCACAUUAAUAAAUUGAAUAAUAGAAAUCAUAUGAUCAUUUCAAUAGAUACAGAAAAAGCAUUACACAAAAUUCAACAUCCAUUUAUGAUACAAACUCUCAACAAAGUGGAUAUAGAUGGAACAUACCUCAACAUAAUAAAGCCCAUAUAUGGCAAACCCACAGCUAACAUACUCAAGGAUAAAAAGCUGAAAGCAUUUCCUCUAAUAUCAAGAACAAGACAAGGAACAAGACAACAAAAGUUGCCCAUUCUUGCCACUUUCAUUCAACACUGAAUCUGCAAUCCUAGCUACAGCAAUCAGAAAUGAAAAAGAAAUAAAAAGAACCCAAUUGGAAAGGAAGAAGGAAAACUGCCACUGUUUCCAGAUGACAUGAUACUAUAUAUAGAAAAUCCUAGGAACUCCAUGAAAACUAUUAAAACUAAUAAAUGAAAUCAGUAAAGUUACAGGAUACAAAAUUAACAUACCUAAAUCUGUUGCAUGUUCUAUACACUAACAAUGAACUGUAAGAAAGAAAAAUUAAUAUUAGAGAAAUGCAAAUCAAAACUACAAUAAAGUAUCACCUCACACUAUUCAGAAUGGCUGUCAUCAAAAAGUCUACAAAUAGGACUUCCCGUGUGGCCCACAACAUAACUACUCAGCGUUGCUUCUACAGUGGCUGUAGCUCAACCCCUGGCCUGGGAACUUCCAUAUACUGCAGGUGCAGCCAAAAAAAAAAAAAAAAAGUCUACAAAUAAAAUAUGCUAGAGAGGGUGUAGAAAAAAAUGGAACCCUCCUACACUGUUGGUGGUAAUAUAGAUUGGUGCAGACACUGUGGAGAGGAGUAUGGAGGUUCCUUAAAAAUCUAAGAAUAGGAGUUCCCAUCGUGGCACAGUGGUUAAUGAAUCCGACUAGGAACCAUGAGGUUGCAGGUGUGAUCCCUGGCCUUGCUCAAUGAGUUAAGGAUCCGGCGUCACCAUGAGCUGUGGUGUAGGUUGCAGACACGGCUUGAAUCCUGAGUUGCUGUGUCUCUGGCAUAGGCCAGCAGCUACAGCUCUGAUUAGACCCCUAGCCUGGGAACCUCCAUAUGCCGCAGGAAGUGGCCCUAGAAAAGGCAAAAAGACAAAAAAAAAAAAAUCUAAGAAUAGAGUUACCAGAUGGUCAGCAACCCCACUGGUAGGUAUAAAUUUGGAAAAGACAAAAAUUCUAAUUCCAAAAUAUACAUGCACCUCAGUGUUCAUAGCAUCACAAUUUAUAGUAGCCAAGACAUGGAAGCCAUUUAAAUACCCACUGACAGAUUAAUGGAUAAAGCAGAUGUGGUAUGGGAGUUCCCUUGCAGCACAGUGAGUUGAGGAUCUGGAGUUGUCACUGCAAUGGCUUGAGUCACUGCUGUAGUGCAGGUUUGAUCCCUGGCCCAGGAAUUUCUACAUGCUGCAGAUGCAGCCAAAAAAAAAAAAUCAAAGAUGUGUUAUGUAUAGCUAUAUAAUACACACAAUGGAAUAUUACUCAGCCAUUAAAAAGAAUGAAACAAUGCCAUUUGCAGCAACAUGGAUUGAUCUAGAGAUUAACAUACUAAGCAAAGUAAGACAGAGAAAGACAAAUAAAUAUCACUUGUAUGUGGAAUCUAAGAAAGUGAUACAAAUGAACUUAUUUACAAAACAGAAAGAGACUCAUAGAUAUAGAAAACAAACUUAUUACCAAAUGGCAAAGGGAGGCAGGAGGGACAAAUUAGGAGGAUGGGAUUAACAUGUACGCAUUACCAUACAGAAAAUAGAUAAGCAACAAGGACCUACUGUAUAGCACAGGGGAACUAUAGUGCAGAUCUUUGUAAUAGCCUAUGAUGGAAAAGAAUCUGAAAAAGAAUAUAUAUAACAGAAUCUCUUUGCUGUACACCUGAAACUAGCACAAUAUUGUAAAUCAACUAUAUUUCAAUAAAAUAAGAAAUAAGAAAUUAAGAGAACAAUCCCAUAUGCAAUUCAUCAAAAAGAAUAAAAUACCUAGAAAGAAAUUUAAUUCUGGAGGUAAAAUUCUGGUACUCAGAAAACUGUAAAACACUGAUGAAAGAAAUUGAAGACGAUACAAACAAAUGGAAAAGUAUAACAUGCUCAUGGAGUGAAAGAAUUAAUAUUGUUGAAAUGACCAUACCACACCAGGCAAUAUACAGAUUUAAUGCAAUUCCUAUCAAAAUACUAAUAGCAUUUUUUCACAAAACUAAAAGAAAUAAUUCUAAAAUUUCCAUGGAAACACAAAAGACCCCUAAAGCCAAAACAAUCUUGAGAAAGGGGAACAGAUCUAGAGGAAUCACGUUUCCUGAUUUCAAACUAUACUCCAAACUAUCAUCAUCAAAACAGUAAUGUUACUGGCACAAGAACAAAUACGUAGAUCAAUGGAACAGAAUAGAGAACCAAGAAAUAAACCCAUGCUUAUCUGGUCAAUUAAUCUACAACAAAGGAGGCAAGAAUAUACAAUAGGAAAAAGAAAGCCUCUACAAUAAAUGGUGCUGGGAAAAAUGGAUAGCUACAUGCAAAGGAAUCAAUCUGCACUACUUUCUUACAUCAUAUAAAAAAUAAACUCAAAAUGGCUUAAGAACUUAAAUGUAAGACCUGCAACCAUAAAACUUAUGGAAGAAAAUUUAGGCAAUACACUCUUUGACAUUGGUCUUAGUAAUAUUUUUUUGGAUAUGUAUCCCCAGGCAAGGGAAUCAAAACAAAAAUAAAGACUAUGUCAAACCAAGAAGUUUUUGCACAGCAAAGAAAACUGGGCAAAACAAAAAGGCAGCCUACUAAAUGGGAGACUAUAUUUGCAAACAAGAUAUCCAAUAAUUGGUAGUAUCCAAAAUAUACAAAAAACUCAUACACCUCAACAUCAAAAGAAGAACCCGAUUUAAAAAUGGGAAGAGGAUCUGCAUAAACAUUUUUCUAAGGACAUACAGAUGGCCAACAGACACAUGAAAAGAUGCUCAACAUCACUAACCAUUAGGGAAAUGCAAAUCAAAACUAUAAUGAGAUACCACCUCACAUCUGUCAGAAUGCCUACCAUCAAAAAGACAACAAAUAACAAGUGCUGGCAAGGCUGUGGAGAAAGGGAACACUCAUGACCAUUGGUUGGGAUUGUAAAUUAGUGUGGCCAUUAUGAAAAACAGUAUGGUGGUUCCUCAAAAAAUUAAAAAUAGAACUGCCAGAGUUCCCAUAGUGGCUCAGCGGAAAAGGAUCUGAUUAGCAUCCAUGAGGAUGCAGGUUUGAUCCCUGGCCUCACUCAGUGGAUUAAGGAUCUGCCAUUAACGUGAGCUGUGGUGUAGAUCGAAGACUCGGCUCAGAUCUGGCGUUGCUGUGGCUAUGGCACAGGCUAGCGGCUACAGCUCCAAUUUGGCCCCUAGCCUGGGAACCUCCAUAUACCAUGUGUGUGGCCCUAAAAAACAACAACAAAAAAAUUGGAACCGCCAUGUGAUCUAGAAUCCAGCAAUUUCAUUUUUAGGUAUUUAAAACAAGAAAAAAAAAACUCUAAUUUGAAAAGAAAAUACACUCUAAUAUUCACUGCAACAUUAUUUAUAAUAGCCAAGAUAUGGAGUCAAGCUAAGUAUCCAUCAAUAGAGGAAUGGAUAAAGAAAUUCCACACACAAUGGACUAUUCCACAGACAAAUAUAAAAUAAAAUCUUGCUUUUUGGGAUAACAUCUAGCAGGUAUUAUGCUAGGUAAAAUAAGUCAGACAGAGAAAAACACUCUAUAAUCCAAUGCACAUUUGGAAUUUAAAAAGCAAAACAAACAAAACAAGUGAAAAUGUACUAAUAAAUACAAAGAACAAACAAGGGUUGGGGCAGGCAAAAUAGAUGAAGGGGAUUAAGAGGUACAAACCUCAGGUUAUGCAAUAAAUAAGGCAUAGAGAUGUAAUGUACAGCAUAAGGAAUAUGGUCAAUAAUAUUUUAACAACUUUGUAUGGGGACAGAUGGUUAUCAGAUUUAACAUGGUUAUCAUUCUAUAAUGCAUGCAAAGAUGAGAUCAUUAUGUAGUACACCUGAAAUCAACAUAAUAUUUUACUUCAUCUAUAUUUCAAUUGAAAAAUACAAAUCUAAUAUUGUUACACCUCUUCUUAAAAACCUUCAAUAUCUUCCAAUUACCCUAGAACAAAGCCUCAAAUUUUUACCAUAGUUCAAAAGGCCCUCCAAUACUCUAAGACCUAGGGUCUCUGUCUCUCUCUCUACCUACCUACCUAUUUAUAUAUACAUCUCUAUCUAUCAAGUGUGUGUUAGUGUUUGAUAUUUAUAGAAUACUUACUGUGAUGUAAGUGCAAAAUUACUUUAGAUGCAUUAUCUUAUGCAGUCCCCACAAAGUCCCUACGAGGUAGGUAAUAUUAUUUUUUUCCAUUUUACAAAUAAGUAAAUAGAGGUUUCAAGUAGUUUAGUGACUUGCCUGAGGCCACACAAUUGGUAACAAAGCUGAGAUUCAAACACAACCGUCUGGACUCCAAAGUCUGUACCUACUAAAGUAUACUCUUCCAAGUUCCUUCAUACACCAUGUUCCCUCUUUCUCUCUGCUCUGGUUUCACUGGACUUUCAGUUUCUCUUUGAGGGCCUUAAUAUAUGUAGUUUCCUCUACCUUGAUGACCUAAUUAGAAAUAAUUCCCUGGCAUUCAGAUGCUUCUGUGGAAGAUGUAGCCAUCCCAGAAAAAUACAUAUACACACAUUUAUAAAAUUCACUCUUCCCAAUCUUGUCUAUUCCCUUAGUGUAUGCCACCUGGAUUUUUAACUACUUAAUUAUGAAAUUACAACCAGGUCUGUUUUGUUGACUACCUCACAAUGACAAAAAAAAAUUGUUUUUUAAUUGCUUCCUGUUAGGCACAAGGUUGAUUUUGGUUUGGCUUUCUGAGACUAUCAAGCAACAGUCAUUAAGUCCUUAUAUCCUUUGCUCCUCAUGACUAAAAUAGAGAGACAAAAAUAAUACGGAUAACAGUGUAGGAGAGUAAGUACCCCUAUGAAUAGGUUCUCUCCAAAUAGGAGAGAAUGUUUUUACCGAACUCUUAAGGAAUAAAAGAUUCUACUUUACAUUACUUUUCUAACUAAAAGUCUCUAGCUAAGAUUAUUUUUAAGUUUAUACACAAUAGCUCUAGUUUUAGCUCUCCUGGAAAUGGCUACUUUAUAGUUUUGUAUACAAAGUUAUUCAUGAUGUUUUCUAAACGGAUAUUCAUCCCUUCUAGGAUUUUAAACAAUUUCAGAGAAAUUUUCUUUUUUUCCUCUACUGGUAAGCUUCCAUCUUAAUAGAUGUUUGGAACACAUUGUAUAUUUAGUUAUGAUUGGUCUAGGUAGUACACGUUCAAGGUUUGUGGCCUCAUAUCAUCUGUCACAAUAAAAAUACUUCAUCUUAAGAAUUAUCCCAUGUCCUUGCCCAUGAAGUUUGUGUUAUGACACCUGUAAUUUAGAGACUUAGGAUUGGAGUGAGUGCCUGGCUGGGAGUUUUAUUAGACUGGAAGAGAGAUAAUAUUUGAAGAAGGCAGAAAAGAGAAUUUCAAAAAGGCCACCUAAGACCAUGAGAAGCAAACAGAUAUGAUAGGGCCAGAGAGAAAAAAAAUAGAUCCAGUUUUUAGUUUCCUCCUCUGUAAAAUGAAGUUACACUAAAUGAUCUCUCAGUUCCCUUCCAGCCAUUAAGUUGCAUCAUCCAAAUCCUGCAGGAUGAGCCAAGAUAAGCUCCUUAAAGAGGACAAUUAGCAGAGAUCAGAAACCUUCUUAGAGUAAUGGAAAUAAAAACAAAAAUACCAAACAGGACCUAAUUAAACUUAAAAACUUUUGCAUAGCAAAGGAAACCAUAAAGAAAACAAAAAGACAAACUAUAGAAUGGAGAAAAUAUUUGCAAAUGAUGUGAACAACAAGGGAUUAAUUCCCAAAAUAGACAAACAGCUUAUACAGCUCAGUAUCAAAAAAACCAAAAAACCUAGUCAAAAAAUGGACAAAAGAUCUCAAUAGACAUUUCUCCAACAAAGUCAUACAGAUGGCCAACAGGCACAUGAAAAAAAUGCUCACCACCACUAAUUAUUAGAGAAAUGCAAAUCAAACCUACAAUGAAGUUAUCACCUCAGUGCAGUCAGAAUGGCCAUCAUCAAAAAGUCUACAAACAAUAAAUGCUGGCAAAGUGAAAUGGGAACCCCCCUACACUGUUUGUAGGAAUAUAAAUCAAUGCAGCUACUAUGGAGGACAGUAUGGAGAUUCCCCCCAAAAUUAAAAAUGGAUCCACCAUAUGAUCCUGCAAUCCCAUUCCUGGGCAUAUAUCUGGAGAAAAUUAUAACUCAAAAAUGUACAUGCACUGCAGUGUUCAUUGCAGCACUAUUUACAAUAGCCAAGACAUGGAAGCAACCUAAAUGUCCAUCACUGACAGAUGAAUGGAUAAAGAAAAUGCAGUAUAGCAGUUCCCGUUGUGGUGCAGUGGUUAACAAACCUGACUAGGAACCAUGAGGUUGCAGGUUUGACCCCGGGCCUUGCUCAGUGGGUUAAGGAUCCGGCAUUGCCGUGACUUGUGGUAUAGGUCACAGACACAGCUUGGAUCCCACGUUGCUGUGCUCUGGUGUAGGC
rnacentral:lncRNA from 1 species